rnacentral:lncRNA from 1 species
AUGUUGAGGUCAUGGCCACGCUCUGGUCCCUGGCAGGCAUCCAUGGUCUGUGCGGGGUGCUCUUACUCAGCCCGAAGUAGAUGCCGACCGUCUCCAGGGAGGCGAAGCCGCUCACCUGCGUCCCCAGAAGGCACCAUCUCUCCAGAGGCACCUGCAAGAAGGGAAACUUGUGAUCACAUCUGCAUUACCAUCUGGUGCCAAGGAGGUGGGUCUCUCCCAGAGACUUUCAGUGACCUGGAGUUGGCAAACGUGGGAGUGAAGUAGCAGAGCAAGCUGGAGAGCCUCCGUUCCAUCCCCGGGGCAGCCGCUGCCCGGCCGGCUGGACGCCGCCACGAAACUCCAGCCCGGCGUUGCGGGUCUCCUAGUUUCCCAUGAGAAGCCUGACAUCCAGCUUUUUAAGUAAAAUUUCCUGAUUGUACUUAAAAAUUUUUUUUAAAAAGUUG